rnacentral:rRNA from 1 species
UGCGUAGGUGGCAGUGCAAGUCAGAUGUGAAAGGCCGGGGCUCAACCCCGGAGCUGCAUUUGAAACUGCAUAGCUAGAGUACAGGAGAGGCAGGCGGAAUUCCUAGUGUAGCGGUGAAAUGCGUAGAUAUUAGGAGGGACACCAGUGGCGAAGGCGGCCUGCUGGACUGUUACUGACACUGAGGCACGAAAGCGUGGGGAGCAAACA